UGUUGGGAGGAUUGACAGAUUGAGAGCUUUUCCUUGGUUCGGCAAAUGGUGGUGCAUGUCCGUUUUCAGUUGGUGCAAUGAUUUGUCUGGUUAAUUCCGAUAACGAACGAGACUCUAGCCCAGUGGUUCUCAAACGGGGGUCCACGGACCUAUCGGGGUCCGCAAAGGCAUUCUAGGGGUCCGCGAAGCCCUGCCUCAUCAGUCAAGCUCGGCAAUAAAAGUUGUAUUUUUUCAGAUUGAGAAGAAAUGUUUAGGUUUUCGGACGAGUUUUCUCGUGCAAAUGUCAAUAAGAGAGCUCUACUUCAUGUUAGCGCUUAGUUAUGGACAUUUAUCAAAUCAUUAAUAUAUGUAACCUGUACCUUUCCUUUCCUGUCACCACGAACAGGGCUCUCCUCCAUCUCAACCGAUCCACAAGGGGUCCGCGAAACAUCGAUGGUUGAAAACCACUGCUCUAGCCUAUUAAAUAGGUGCGUGGUUCUCUGCCCCUUGCAGCGUUCUUUAAAAGACAAGUGGCUCCUAGCCGCAUGAAAGAGAGCAAUAACAGGUCGAUGAUACCCUUAGA
rnacentral:rRNA from 1 species